GUCUCGAUCUUGCUGCAAGAGGACACUACGAAGUUGACGGAGAUUCUGCCGAGGUGCAGUCACCGGACUCAAGUGUUCGAUCCACUGCUGGAUCCGGGUCUGUGUGCUUUGCAUUUCAGCGACCCAGUGUGUGGCCCCGGGCCAGUGUGUCAAAACCUUUUCAACGGAAUGUUUUUCUUGCUGAUCUGUGAAGACCCCAGAAGACUGUAGCGAUCCGUUUUCAUGAACAUGAGGCAUCAGUUCCUGCUAUCUUGGCAAAAGUCCAAGAUGCUAUUGGAUCAGAAGAUGGUAUGAUACUGACUGAUGGCCAGGGGAAUGAAAUUCUCCAUACAGAGGGAACAAAAGGAUCAGCUUACUGGAAACAAAAUUCUAGGAAGGUUUUUGCUGUGCCUGAACAACAGUUCUUGGAUAUGAGAUCCAAAAGGAGAAGAUUAAGCCAACGGGAUGAUGACAGCCAGCUACCAGAGGUCUUAGAAAGAACUGAAGAGGUGGUGUUGGCAUCCCAAAAACUGCCAGAGGUUGCACAGGCCAUCAGAGGCUUAUCUGAGCUGACGCUGGCACGCAGACGUUUUAUUACAUUCACGGACGAAGAACGUGCAGCUAUUAAAAAUGCAUUUGCUUGCAUACUUUGCAAAGGUUUGUUAACAAGAUAAUUUAGUCUCUAUAAGAUUUGUUGAUAGCCAGGAUAGUAUUUUGUGAAUUAAACUGUAAUACUUUCCUCUCUUCUCUCUGGAUUAAGAUCCUAGAAAUAUGAUGAAAAAACUAACAAGCAAUUUUCUUUAUUUUAAAUUUCUAGGGCCCAUGAAUGAUCCUGUUUUUGCAGUUUGCUGUCAGAGUCUCAUUGCAUGCAAAGUGUGCUUUGAGCAGUGGCAGUGAAAUGCCAACACCUGUGUGAAAUGCAGAGGAGACAACUCAAGGGAAAACACCUACAGAGUCCCAGGAAUUGAUGGUGCAUUGUCUGCUUUUGGUGAUCUUAUCAAAGAUUAAAUACAGUGGGAAAGAAAAGCUGUAUACCUGUUACAAGUGUCACACGUUAAGAAGUUUCAUGGCACUACUACGGCAGCUCUUUAUUAGUUACUGGUGUUUGUUACACGUUAAGAGUAAAUAUACUCUUGAAUAUACAGUAAAAAAAGUUAUUACUGUUCAGUUAUUGACUUAAAAGUGAGAAGCACUACAGGCAGCACUUUUUCUGCUUUAAUCAGAGUAAUUAUAUACAUUAUAUACAAUGUAAGUUAUAUACCAAAUAUCACUGUUUAAGUGUCAAGUUCAACUUUUGAAGUAAAAUGCAGCACUGGAUAACACUUUAUUAAAGCUUUAAUGUGACAGUUUUAUACCUCAAAUUACAGCAUUGUUUUAAUACAAUUGAUAAUGCCUAUGUUUAAAAGACUUGCUGUUUAUUUUUGUACUUUGUACAAUUAUUGUACACAGAAAUAUGUAAUAAAUGUUAGUUUUAUGAUGAAUGUCUUGUUCCU
ensembl:lncRNA